rnacentral:lncRNA from 1 species
CCGUUGCAAGGCGCCAACCUGCCCAAACUUUCGUAAACGGCAAAAGUUUUCGUGCCAAGACAAGUGGACAACCCCCGGCGCGGCGUCCUUUCCUGGCACCGUCGCAGAGGACGCGGAUAGAGCGAGAGGCGACGAAACACUUCCGUCGCAGAGGACGUGGAUAGAGCGAGAGGCAACGAAACACCUGCAGCUCAUCUUCACCAGGUAAAAAAAGAAGCAGGACAGCAAGUUCCUAGGUGGACACAUGAACUAUCUGCUACACGCCGAGAGAAGCAAUGGCAGGGAUGAUGGCUCUUAUCCAAAACCAAGCAGUGACGCGGCUCAUUCACAUACACCGUCUCUGGCCAAGCUAUCUGCUACCCCAAAAGUAUACAACAUGGCAGCCUACGAGAACCGCCAAAAAUGGCCCUUUUCGCCGACUGCAACAGCACCAAUUAACUAAGCCAAGCUUCCAUUCAGAUCAGCAGCAGCAGCUUCCAGCAGCACUCCACAGUCUCCAUGAGCCCCUCCUGGUCAGGCUGCACCCGAACCACCAGCAGCGAAAACCACUUGCCUUCAUCAUUCCCAUUUCCCGUACAACAUCAUCGCUGUUGCGCCUAAGAAAAUCCCAGUUGCGCCGCAUGCGUAAGCUGGACGGAAAUCGGGUGACAGGACAUGAGAGGCGUCGGUCGUCCUGUGGCAACCGACAAAAUUGAACUUUUUCGGGACCCUGAUACUGCGCCCAGAGGGUUUUAACUAAACGAGUAGCCCCAGGCCGCGUCCGGGAUUCCAGCCUCCAUGAUCACCCACUGGAUAUGACAGCCGCGAAAAAAAAAUGGGCAGAAACAAGUUGUAUCAGUAAGAUAUUUCAUUAUUGCUGUGUCUCCUAAACAAACACCAGUUGCAUAACAGGAACAAAGAAGUAUAGGUCGCAUGGAACGUAGGAAUAAGAUACUCCCAAUUUGUUGACACUGCAGGGAUAGCCGAAGUUUCCAACGAGGGAAUCCAGCCUCUCCAUGAAGCAACACCCUGGACAGCACCAGAAACAUUGGCAGAAACAAGUUGUGUCCCAGGGAUAACUUCAUAAUUGCGUCCUAAACAAAAACCAGUGGCAUACCAGGACGAAGAAGUAUAUAUAGUCCAAGAGAUAACUUCAUAAUUGUGUCCUAAACAACAACCAGUUGCAUACCAGGACAAUGGAGCAUAUGUGACGAAAGAGCGAAUGAGUGGCCCGGAGCGCGGUAUUAAGAUACUCCCAAUCUGCUAUGCGGCGGCACACGGGCGACAUGUAAGAAUAUUCACAUAUUGUCGGGCUCUUCCUGUUUCCGACGUAGGCCCUGCGUAGGAGCUUCCCCUGGACCGAUAUUUAUAUAUAUUGCCAAGUGCAUGCAUGCAUGGACAUGAAUGGCUUGACCUCUUAUUUGGAAUGAGCAGACACUGUCCAAGUGAGAAGGAUCAGACUAUGUAAGAUACCAAUACCGCUAUAUCUGCAGAGGGAUGCAAAAGAGUGGUUUUCUGCGUUACCUGGAAUGAAGCUGCCUAUAAGUAGAUGCUGCACCAUGGAGGAACACUUCAUCCCAUUUCGAUUCUGCGUAAAGAUACUGAGAUUGGACUCUGCUC